GUAGUCAUAUGCUUGUCUCAAAGAUUAAGCCAUGCAUGUCUAAGUACAUACCUUAGCACGGUGAAACCGCGAAUGGCUCAUUAAAUCAGUUAUGGUUCCUUAGAUCGUCCAUACUACAUGGAUAACUGUGGUAAUUCUAGAGCUAAUACAUGCAAAAAGCUCCGACCGUAUGGGAAGAGCGCUUUUAUUAGACCAAAACCAAUGGGAUCGCAAGAUUCCUUUGUAUGGUGACUCUGGAUAACUUUGUGCUGAUCGCAUGGCCUCGAGCCGGCGACGUAUCUUUCAAGUGUCUGCCCUAUCAACUUUCGAUGGUAAGCGAUUUGCCUACCAUGGUUGCAACGGGUAACGGGGAAUG
rnacentral:rRNA from 1 species